CGGAGGUGGGGCUGCCAUUCACCCCCCUCCCCAACCUGACUCACCUUCCUCCAAGGGUGGCAUCUGGAACCUGCUCUGCUGGACCUCCUCAUCUGUGACCCGAUGCCGCUGAGAAUCUGCAAGCAGAGGCAGUGGUGGAGAGGGGUGAAGGCUCAACCUCAUCAUUUAGGAGUCUGGAGAAGGGACUGGAUUUCCUUGGGCCCAAGGUGGCUGAACAGGGUGGGAGGACAACUCUACAGGCAGAGAGGGCUUAGCAUUUCCCAUCAAAUUCCAGGUUCAUAUCCCAAUCCAACAGACCCUUCGCCUCAAUCUAGGACCAACGUGUUUAACUAGCCUGGGCCCAGAAACUCUAGUGCCCUGCAAUCUCCCAGCCCCCAGCCCCAGCUGUCCCUCCUACUACUUAGAGAGGUAUCAAGAGUCUGGGUUCUGUCCUUGUGACCUGGCAGCUCUGGGCAGGAGAAGGACAGAUGUUCGCUCCUUCAAGAAGCCUUCCUAGAGUGAAACCCAGAUGGUCUGGAAUCACUGCAUCACAGGCUCUGCGGCAUCUUCAAGUUUCAGAAACAGAUUUAUAGAGUCUGGAGGAUAUGAUUGUCUGGGAUCUUGGAGUCAGCUCUUUUGAAUCUGGUAUCACUGACCUUUAAUUUCAAUGUUAUAGCAUUGUGGACUCUUAGUCUUGCAUCUUAUAUGCCUGGGCUCAGAACCUCAGGUUUGAUAGACACUUCAUCCCUGUGGCUCCCAAACACUGGUCCUCAGGCCAGAAGAAGUGGAAUCAUCUGUGUCCCAGCCCCAGAAGCCCUGGGUUAGCAGGCGGGGCCGGGACAGCUGUCUGUUGCCCAAUAUCCAUUCUGGCUUUUAUCUGGACACAGCUGCCCAGGACAGAGAUUUCGUUUCCCUGCCUCUCUUGCAGCUAGUGGGUUUGUAUGCUGGGCGCUGGGUUGUGAGCGGGAAUGCUGUGGCCAUCUCCAGCAUCCUGUCUUUCCCUUGCCCUUGCCUGGAACGUGGACAUGGAGGUGAGCCAUUCUGGACCAUGCAGAUGAAGGUGACAUCUUAGGGGCUGCACAGCAACAAGAAAGAAGGGGCUGGGCCCCUGCCAACCUCUCAGGACCCUGUCAUUUGGAGCCUUCGGUCACACACAGCCAAACUCAUGCUGACUGAUACAUUAGGUGUGGGGAGGGGCUCAGGAAUUGUUGACAAGCUCCCAAGUGAUUCCACAAUAGGGUGUGAGACGCGCUGGUCUAUUCCAACCUCCCAGCAUUGCCCGGGCCCUGCCUUCAGCGUUAUCUUUCCUCUUCCUAUCCCCAGAAGGCAAAGAAAAGAGCCGGCUAUGAGGCACAAGCUGGCAUGAGAGUGGAGAGGAUGAAGGCUAUGAAGAUGAGGGAGCCAAGGAGAAGAAUUCCCAGAACGAUGGAGGAGAUGAAGAGCAUUAGCUCCCGAGAUUCCUUGUUCUCUAGUUUCACUGUCACAGAAGAUUCUGGAAACAAGAAUUCCAAUGCAGGAAGAAAGAAUGGGCACUCAACCUUCUUUUUGCCUUUCCAUUCUCUAUAAAGCUGACCUGCUUCCCUUUUUAUGUUAUCUUCCUCCUUGCUUCCUUUUUCUAUUUUUUCCCCAUCUGCUUUUAAGUGUGUGGUAUACAUUAGGGGCUCAAUAAAUGCACAUUGCAUGCAUGAUUAAUUG